rnacentral:rRNA from 1 species
UACAGAGGUCUCGAGCGUUAAUCGGAGUCACUGGGCUUAAAGGGUGCGUAGGCGGCGCUGCAAGUGCCUUGUGAAAUCCCACGGCUCAACCGUGGAAUUGCUUGGUAGACUGCAGCGCUUGAGGUUGGUAGGGGUUGCCGGAACUCUAGGUGGAGCGGUGAAAUGCGUAGAUAUCUAGAGGAACGCCGAAGGUGAAGACAGGCGACUGGGCCAAUUCUGACGCUGAGGCACGAAAGCGUGGGGAGCAAACGGG